rnacentral:lncRNA from 1 species
CAAGAGUGAACCAGGGCAAGACUAGAUUGCAGUGAUUUUGUUUGAUGUACCAUGAGCUCAACAUUGGGAUUGGAAAGAAGACAGUUGUAAAUGUUUACAUCUAACAGUAGACACAGCUGAGUGAAGAAUAAUUUCCAUGAAGAGUCACUAAAUAACAUUUCAUAAGGAGAACUGGAGUGAAAUAGGAUUGCAGUAAAAUAUGGACUCUGAGGUAGUACAAAAGAGAGUUGAGCAUAUGACAAAAUGUGUUAAAAAGGAAAAUGAAGGGACAAAAUAAGAAGCUUAAACUACAAAACCAAAACUAUAUCAGAGCCAAGUCAAACAAAGAAGAAAAGGUUGCAGACAUUUGAAGAAUCACUGGCAGAUCUACUUUGAAUAUAUUAUCACUACGAAAGGAAUAGAAAAUUCAUCCAUUCUGAAACCUGAAUAUACUCA